AUAAAAUAAUUAACUAAUUAAGCAACAAAUAAGAGGUAAAGUAGGCAUAGGGGAUCUAGGGUUAAAGUCCCCAAUUGAAAACAAAAAGUAGUAUAUGCUAUUUAAUGGGGGAGUGGCCCAUGAUUAGAAAAGUGAAGUAUAACAAACAAUGU